CAGAAGAUGAAGGAAAAGCAAAGGGAUGCCUUACAAGGCAGCUGGCAAAGAUAACUUGUGCAGGGGAGCUCCCAUUUAUAAAACCAUCAGACCUCAUGAUGGUUUUUCACUACCACAAGAACAGUAUGGGGGCAACCGUCCCCAGGAUUCAAUGAUCUCCCUCUGGCUCCCUCCCAUGACAUGUGGGAAUUAUGGGAACUACAAUUCAAGAUGAGAUUGGGGUGGAGACACAGCCAAGCCAUAUCAUUAAGGUGAAAUGAAGUCAAAAGGAAGGGGCCCUACCUCAUACGACUGUGGCCUUAUAAGAACAGGAAGAGACACCGGGGAUGCAGGUACACAGAGAAAGGGCCAUAUGAGGACACAGCUGGGAGAUGGUCAUCUGUAACCCAAGGAGAGAGACUUUAGGAGAAACCAACCCUGCCCACGCAUUGUUCUCGGACUUCCAGCCUCCAGGACUGCAAGAUAAUAAGUUCCUGUUGUUUAAGCCACCCAGUCUCUGAUAUUUUGUUUUACAGCAGCCCAGGUAAACAAAUGCAAUAACAAUAGAAGAAAACUGAUCAGUGGAACAGAAAAACCAACAGAAUGGAUGUCUUUCACCAUGACUAUGAAAAGCUUGGAAAAGGAUUCCACUAAAGCUGACAAUUCUUUCAUAGCUGGAUUACGGAACAGUUGGACAUGAAACAAAAUAAAAACGAUCACAGCUCUCCCUCUGUGCCUGAAGCAGUUUCUAGGGGGAAAUUCAAACAUGAAAAGCCAAGCGGAUGAUCUGAGGUGUUGUUAACUCAAGUGAAGGCGCCAAGCAUCAGGCAACGUGGACUUUCUGACCAGCACCGUGUUCUUGCCUGCAAAGCUCCUUAUUAGUAGGGAUUGUCACAACCCUGGAAAUAAACUUUUCUCAGGUGACACAUCUUCAGUGAGAACAUUGUUUGAGGCCUCUGUGCUCAAGAGACCGUGUUUGGUUUUUGAAAUGUUUAGUUUUCUCCUUUAGAAUGGAAUAGCCUGGGGAGGAAUAAGGAUUGUGGGUGGCACCUGCCCAGGAGAUGCUUUCUUUCUCCCUGUAAUCCAGAUACAAUGCUAUUUUUAUCUAUUAGGUGGCAAAAGCAGCAAUGAUUGUGCCUUUCAUCUUUUUUUAUGAGGUAAAGCUGCAGGCCAGGGGAUGUAUUUAGCUAUUCUGUUCUACAGAGAGCCUUCUGGACAGCUGAUCUUGAACGAUGUGCAGUUGCUAAGGUUGCUAGCUUCUCCAGAGUAAUUCCUGUUGAAGGCUUUCCCACCAUCUUGCACAGUUGGAGUCUGGGGCUGUUAAGAAGUUUAAGAAGAAAAACAAAGCAAAACAGAGAAAACAAACAAGCUCACCAGCUUCAUCAUGUAUAAGAAGCAUGCUGUGAUAUUGAGUCAAUUGGUUGCCCAAUCACAGACAUCUUUCACUGACAGAGUAACAGGUGUGUGGGCUUUGAGCAGUCGCUACACCUUCCCUCUUCAGGCAUGAUGAGAGGAUUCCUGCAGCGUUUUGCAAGAGGGUCCACACUACCUUUAUGAGCUGUAACACUCACCGUGAAGGUCUGCAGCUUCACUCCUGAAGCCAGCGAGACCACGAACCCACCGGGAGGAACGAACAACUCCAGAUGCGCCGCCUUAAGAGCUGUAAUACUCACCACGAAGGUCUGCACCUUCACUGCUGAGCAAGCGAGACCACGAACCCACCAGAAGAAAGAAACUCCUAACACAUCCGAACAUCAGAAGGAAGAAACUCCAGACGUGCCAUCUUAAGAGCUGUAACACUCACCGUGAAGGUCUGCAGCUUCAUUGUUGAAGUCAGUGAGACCAAGAACCCACCAAUUCCGGACACAGAAGGACGAGGAAUGAAGGGUGUUCCGGUGGGUACAUGUUGGCUCCUUUGCUCAGCUCAAGUGACCUCUGAAGCCUGUUCUACCUUUCACAGUGGGAAGAGAGGAAAGGGUCACUAGAGUCAUGUGUAAAAUGUGGCUCCAUCUUCUCAAAUCAGGGAUGAAUGCCUGCCUAUUUCUGGAUAUGUCAGGGAAGGCAGACACAGAGAGUUAGAGAAAGGGAAAGAGAAUGAGACAGAGAGAGACAGAGAUAAGAAGGGGGAGAGGGAGUGAAAAAGAGAGAAGGAGAGGGUAAGGGAGAGGAAGGGAGGGAAAGGGGGAGAGAGAGAAAGAGGGAGGGAGAGAGAGAAACAGAGGAGACAGGGCUGAGAUACCAGACAGUGGAUUUAGAGUUCCUGGUUCCCACAAGGCUCUUUGUGUGAAUCAGAACAAGUUUUUCCCACUGGACAGCUGCAUCCCUAUGGGUCCAUGGCUUUCCCACUGGGCUGCAUCUUGAUAUGAAUUAGAAAAUGUCAUCUUUAAGUUGGAGAUUCUCCACCUCAGCACUGUGGACAUUUGGGCCAGAUAAUUCUGCUUUGGUGGGCUGUCCUGUGUAGAAUGUUUAUAGUAGCAUUCCUGGCCAUUACUCACUAGGUGCCAGUAGAAUGUAUAUCAAAUUGUGACAAUCAAAAAUGUGUUCAGGUAUUGCCAAGUGCCUCCUGGAAGGCAAAAUUGCUCCCUGUGAGAUCCGCUAACUUAAGUGAACAUAGCUGCGUGCAGGAGUGCAUGGUUUGGAGAAAGGAUUGUAGGUGGGUUUUUAGUCGUUCCCCAACGACUUUCUGGGCUCCAGUUGCUUCCUUGGCCAGGUACACUUGUGCAGUGCACAAUCUCCACAACUGUACAUAGCAGUCCUGCUGGUUCCUGUGCAUUCCUGUGUCAUGGCUGAAUCUCUUCCACUGGGUUCUCUGGGACACUCUUGAGUCCUUAAAGCAAAUGUGCCCUUUAUACAUUGUCUGUCUUGACUUUAGUUUUAUUUGUAGGUGAACAGCCAUUGUUCUCUUCUUAUCCCUCCAUCUCUGUUUGUGUUUUAUCAGAAAUUUCAAAAGAUGCUACUCUGUUUAUGUUAGCACAAGUAGCUACUGUGUGUGUUUCGAAACUUUUUGCAAGUGUGAAAGUGUUUGGUUUGAAAGGUGGUACCUGUAUUCAACACUCAUCAAAUCUCUUCUUCAAGGGCCUUUUCUUUUUUCUCUGACCUUUUAUUUUUGGACCAAACACCUCUAAGACACCAUAGAGUGUAUCAGUUUCCUUACAAAAAUGUGGCAUCGUUCACUUCAUUAACGCUGUUUGAUCUUUGACAAGUGAUAAAGGUGUGAUAUGAAACAUAAUUUCUCAUAACUUGAAGAUACUCCAAUUAGCAUAUAUGAGAUGGGAAAAAAUAAAGAGGGUAUUUUCUAAUUAAUUGAAAAUCAUGCUUAGAUUUAGAAUGGUGUUUCCCAAACUAUCAGGUCUGUAAGUUCACAAGAAAGAAUCACCACCAUUUUUAAGUAACAAAAAUAAAAUAAUAUUUUGAACA
rnacentral:lncRNA from 10 species